UUUAUGGAGAGUUUGAUCCUGGCUCAGGAUGAACGCUGGCGGCGUGCCUAAUACAUGCAAGUCGAGCGAACGGACGAGAAGCUUGCUUCUCUGAUGUUAGCGGCGGACGGGUGAGUAACACGUGGAUAACCUACCUAUAAGACUGGGAUAACUUCGGGAAACCGGAGCUAAUACCGGAUAAUAUUUCGAACCGCAUGGUUCAAAAGUGAAAGACGGUCUUGCUGUCACUUAUAGAUGGAUCCGCGCUGCAUUAGCUAGUUGGUAAGGUAACGGCUUACCAAGGCAACGAUGCAUAGCCGACCUGAGAGGGUGAUCGGCCACACUGGAACUGAGACACGGUCCAGACUCCUACGGGAGGCAGCAGUAGGGAAUCUUCCGCAAUGGGCGAAAGCCUGACGGAGCAACGCCGCGUGAGUGAUGAAGGUCUUCGGAUCGUAAAACUCUGUUAUUAGGGAAGAACAUAUGUGUAAGUAACUGUGCACAUCUUGACGGUACCUAAUCAGAAAGCCACGGCUAACUACGUGCCAGCAGCCGCGGUAAUACGUAGGUGGCAAGCGUUAUCCGGAAUUAUUGGGCGUAAAGCGCGCGUAGGCGGUUUUUUAAGUCUGAUGUGAAAGCCCACGGCUCAACCGUGGAGGGUCAUUGGAAACUGGAAAACUUGAGUGCAGAAGAGGAAAGUGGAAUUCCAUGUGUAGCGGUGAAAUGCGCAGAGAUAUGGAGGAACACCAGUGGCGAAGGCGACUUUUCUGGUCUGUAACUGACGCUGAUGUGCGAAAGCGUGGGGAUCAAACAGGAUUAGAUACCCUGGUAGUCCACGCCGUAAACGAUGAGUGCUAAGUGUUAGGGGUUUCCGCCCCUUAGUGCUGCAGCUAACGCAUUAAGCACUCCGCCUGGGGAGUACGACCGCAAGGUUGAAACUCAAAGGAAUUGACGGGGACCCGCACAAGCGGUGGAGCAUGUGGUUUAAUUCGAAGCAACGCGAAGAACCUUACCAAAUCUUGACAUCCUUUGACAACUCUAGAGAUAGAGCCUUCCCCUUCGGGGGACAAAGUGACAGGUGGUGCAUGGUUGUCGUCAGCUCGUGUCGUGAGAUGUUGGGUUAAGUCCCGCAACGAGCGCAACCCUUAAGCUUAGUUGCCAUCAUUAAGUUGGGCACUCUAAGUUGACUGCCGGUGACAAACCGGAGGAAGGUGGGGAUGACGUCAAAUCAUCAUGCCCCUUAUGAUUUGGGCUACACACGUGCUACAAUGGACAAUACAAAGGGCAGCGAAACCGCGAGGUCAAGCAAAUCCCAUAAAGUUGUUCUCAGUUCGGAUUGUAGUCUGCAACUCGACUACAUGAAGCUGGAAUCGCUAGUAAUCGUAGAUCAGCAUGCUACGGUGAAUACGUUCCCGGGUCUUGUACACACCGCCCGUCACACCACGAGAGUUUGUAACACCCGAAGCCGGUGGAGUAACCUUUUAGGAGCUAGCCGUCGAAGGUGGGACAAAUGAUUGGGGUGAAGUCGUAACAAGGUAGCCGUAUCGGAAGGUGCGGCUGGAUCACCUCCUUUCU
rnacentral:rRNA from 1 species